rnacentral:rRNA from 1 species
GCGUAGGCGGUUUGAUAAGUCAGCGGUGAAAUAUUUCAGCUUAACUGAAAGGGUGCCGUUGAUACUGUCAGGCUUGAAUAUGGUUGCUGUGGGUGGAAUGUGUGGUGUAGCGGUGAAAUGCUUAGAUAUCACACAGAAUAUCGAUUGCGAAGGCAGCUCACAAAGCCAUUAUUGACGCUGAUGCACGAAAGUGUGGGGAUCAAACAGGAUUAGAUACCCUGGUAGUCCACACUGUAAACGAUGAUAACUCGCUGUCGGCGAUACACAGUCGGUAGCCAAGCGAAAGCGAUAAGUUAUCCACCUGGGGAGUACGACCGCAAGGUUGAAACUCAAAGGAAUUGACGGGGGCCCGCACAAGCGGAGGAACAUGUGGUUUAAUUCGAUGAUACGCGAGGAACCUUACCCCGGGCUCGAACGGUACAGGAAUACGUCAGAGAUGAUGUAGCUAGCAAUAGUCUGUAUCGAGGUGCUGCAUGGUUGUCGUCAGCUCGUGCCGUGAGGUGUCGGCUUAAGUGCCAUAACGAGCGCAACCCUUGUCGUUAGUUGCCAUCUGGUAAUGCUGGGAACUCUAGCGAGACUGCCACCGUAAGGUGUGAGGAAGGGGGGGAUGACGUCAAAUCAGCACGGCCCUUACGUCCGGGGCGACACACGUGUUACAAUGGUAGGUACAGABGGGCAGCUACCCAGCAAUGGGGUGCGAAUCUCAAAAGCCUAUCUCAGUUCGGAUCGGAGUCUGCAACUCGACUCCGUGAAGUUGGAUUCGCUAGUAUCGCGCAUCAGCCAUGGCGCGGUGAAUACGUUCCCGGGCCUUGUACACACCGCC